GGCCAGUUGGUCUAGUGGUAUGAUUCACGCUUUGGGAGCGUGAGGUCCCGGGUUCAAUCCCCGGACUGGCCC
rnacentral:tRNA from 1 species